rnacentral:rRNA from 1 species
AUUGAACGCUAGCGGCAUGCUUUACACAUGCAAGUCGAACGAGUGGCGGACGGGUGAGUAAUAUAUCGGAACGUGCCCAGUAGCGGGGGAUAACUACUCGAAAGAGUGGCUAAUACCGCAUACUAUUGGGGCGGCCGAUAUGGGAUUAGCUAGUGGGUGGGGUAAAGGCUCACCAAGGCGACGAUCCGUAGCUGGUUUGAGAGGAUGACCAGCCACACUGGGACUGAGACACGGCCCAGACUCCUACGGGAGGCAGCAGUGGGGAAUAUUGCACAAUGGGCGAAAGCCUGAUGCAGCCAUGCCGCGUGUAUGAGAAGGCCUUCGGGUUGUAAAGUACUUUCAGCAGGGAGGCGGUAUCGGCAGAAGAAGCACCGGCUAACUACGUGCCAGCAGCCGCGGUAAUAC